CUCCGGUUCCCUCGCAACGACAGGUUGCGAACCCCGUCAGGCCCGGAAGGGAGCAGCGGCAGCAGCGGACUCGUGUGCUGGGGUGCGGCUGGUUAGG
rnacentral:SRP_RNA from 1 species